rnacentral:ncRNA from 1 species
UUCCUUCGGGGUCAGGUGAAAUUCCUAACCGGCGGUGAUGAAGCUUUUGCUUCUUAGUCCGUGACCCGUGUAACAUAUUGUUACACGGUGGAUCUGGUGAAACUCCAGGGCCGACAGUUAAAGUCUGGAUGGGAGAAGGA